rnacentral:rRNA from 1 species
UACGAAGGGGGCUAGCGUUGCUCGGAAUCACUGGGCGUAAAGCGCACGUAGGCGGCUUUUUAAGUCAGGGGUGAAAUCCUGGAGCUCAACUCCAGAACUGCCUUUGAUACUGGGAAGCUUGAGUCCGGGAGAGGUGAGUGGAACUCCGAGUGUAGAGGUGAAAUUCGUAGAUAUUCGGAAGAACACCCGUGGCGAAGGCGGCUCUCUGGGACGGUACUGACGCUUAGACGCGAAAGCGUGGGGAGCGAACAGG